rnacentral:tRNA from 1 species
GAUGGCUCAGCUGGCUAGAGUGUGGUGCUAAUGAUGCCAAGGUUGCAGGUUCAAUCCCUGUAUGGGGCCG